CAUUUGGCAAGUGACACCUGAGAGAUGGUUAAAGGAGGUGCUUGACACGUCUCCCUUCCACAGAAGAGAGCUGACGCGAAGAGUUAAUGGCACUAUUCUGACUGCAGAGGUAGAGGAAGAAGGCUGAAGAGUCACCGGGAAGUGGUGGGGUGCAUUUAGAGAGAGAAAGCCCCGGCUAGAGGCAGGGAGAGGAGGGUAAGUCACCCUGCCUCUCUCAUACUUACGCCACCUUGGUGCCAUGAUGAACUUCCUUUUACAAGGAAAAGGUAGGCUGGAGACUCCCAACAGGGCCCCUUGCCACAGCAGGUGGCUGUGCAGGGGACUCACACAGGCACUGAGAAGACAGUUUGGAAAGUGACCAGAAGUGCACAUUCUGUAUUGCCACAGAGCAAGAGCCCAGAAGUACAAGUCCUAGCCCCCUGUGACACGGUUCUUGAGAUUGCAACCACUGCUACAGUGCAUUAAGCCCAGAGGGUCAUGGCCACAGUGCAACUCCAUUCUUGAGACUUUAUUCCACUAAGCUUAGAUGGGUGGCUGGGUACCAUGUGGGUAGAUGAGUUUGCAUCCCCAGGGAAAUGGUGCCUCACCCAAAGAGAAAACUGACACAUAGGCCUGUGUGUCACUACACCUGGCUUGACGGUCAGCCAGAUAUUAUCUCCACCUCCUCAGACUCUUCCUCACACCUGCUGGCCUGCACAGGAGCACUGGCACGUACCCAAACCAAGCCUGCCACUCAUCUAACCUCACUUCCUGGUGAGCAUUCUACAACACCACACUGGGCUGCGGUGACCAAAAACCAACCAGCAUUAGCCUUUCUAAGACAUAAUCACCUUAAAACUAACUGACUAUGGAUUCCAGUGAAAUUCCAGGAGCGACUUGACUGUAAUUCUCUAGAGACACACUCCAGGCAACAAGCGUCCCAGCCUAGAGGUGCAAAAGACCUGCCCGUGUGAGGAAGUACGAAGUCUACACCAGGCAGAGGCAUUUCCUGCGGGGAUGAGCCAACAGGCCGGUAGACCACUGGAGGGGACAGGCGAGCUUUCAUCUGAGGACUACAGGAGGGUGGUGGUACCACCAUCUUAUUGUCACCCACUUCAGAGCUCACUAAGCUUUCCCCAGCCCAGAGGAGAAGGAUUCCUCCUUCCCAGAGCUGUGACAGGGUCAGGGAGAAGAGCUGUGAGGGUCAAGAGAGGUUUUUGUCUUGGAUCCUACAUUGCAAAGGACAUCUGAUGGAACUUUUGAUGUCAUCUCCACAUAAAAGAGGAAAAAUAAUCCUUUGAUUUUAUGCUAAAAACAUUAAUUUACUGCUGAGGAUUUAGCUCAGUGGCUUAAGUGCCUGCCUGGCAAGCGCAAGGUCAUGAAUUCAAUCCCCAGCACCAAAAAAAAAAAAAAAAAAAAAAACCCAAAACAUUAAAUUACUAAAACUUUCAUUUAUUAUGUGCUCAAUCUGUGAAAUGCUCUGGGCAUUUCCUCAUAUUUUAACACUUCAGGAAGCUCAAAAAAAAAAGAGGUAGCUGAACCUACUCGGAGUCUUGCAGUCUCUAGGCACCCACCUCUUCACCUGGCCGUAGGAUGGAGCUCCUCGUCCUUCACAUUGCAGACUUGCUUAUUUUGUCCCUUGCCCACAAGAGAGAGAUGUUGAUGCCCUCCACAUCUCACGUUCUUAUAUCGUCAUACCUUGCCUCUUGCAUGUGUGGUAACCAUUGUGUUUGGACUUCUGAGUUAUAUAAUGGUAUUAAAACCGUUCUCCUUGA